AGAGUUUGAUCAUGGCUCAGAACGAACGCUGGCGGCGUGCUUAACACAUGCAAAGUCGAACGCGAAAAGGGACUUCGGGUCCUGAGUAAAGUGGCGCACGGGUGAGUAACGCGUGGAUAAUCUACCCAAUGAUCUGGGAUAACAUCUCGAAAGGGGUGCUAAUACYGGAUAAGACCACGGAGUCUCUGGAUUCUGCGGUAAAAGGUGGGGACCUUCGGGCCUACCGUCAUCGGAUGAGUCCGCGUACCAUUAGCUAGUUGGUGGGGUAAUGGCCUACCAAGGCUACGAUGGUUAGCUGGUCUGAGAGGAUGAUCAGCCACACUGGAACUGAAACACGGACCAGACUCCUACGGGAGGCAGCAGUGAGGAAUAUUGCGCAAUGGGGGCAACCCUGACGCAGCGACGCCGCGUGGAUGAUGAAGGCCUUCGGGUCGUAAAAUCCUGUCAGAUGGAAAGAAGUGCAURGUGGUUAAUACCYGCYAUGUUUGACGGUACCAUCGAAGGAAGCACCGGCUAACUCCGUGCCAGCMGCCGCGGUAAUA
rnacentral:rRNA from 1 species